CAAGCAGCAACAAGAAAGUGCUUAGGCUUAAAUGCGUUUACCUAAGCGCUGAUACAAUGCUGCCAGAACAAUUUUAAAGCCAAGAACAGUUUAGUUUAGAGUAGUUUAUAAACUGAUCUACACGUGGCCUAACAUAU
rnacentral:snoRNA from 15 species